rnacentral:lncRNA from 1 species
UUUGGGGGAAAGUUGGGAGAGGAGGCAAUCCAUACCUGUUAGAGAAGUCUCUACAGUCAUAACCUGAUGCCAAUUCUAACCAGUUCACCAACAGCUGCCUGACUCCCUGGAUUUGUGUUAGAUCUGAGUUCCCCAGAUCAGGUCUGGCCUCUUACAACCCACCUCCCUAGGUUCCCCUUAGAGAUUGGACCACUCUGAACUGUCACUAUUUGAUGAUGUGUCUAUCUGCAAACCUGGUUGGUGAGUUGUGAGGGGAUGGGGUUGGAUCUGACGUGGUCACUGCUAUGUCCCCAGAGUCAGGCAGCAUGUUCAAGGCCCUUUGUGGUUGCCAUAAGUAGAUAUAUGGCAUGAAUGCGUGAAUGUAGGUAGGAGGGGAGGCUUCCCUGGGGCAAACAGUGCCCUACCCUCUCACCUAUGGCCCCCAUCCCUUGCUAGGGUCCAAGGGUUGGUCUUGCCUCAGGUCAAAUAGGUCAAAUAGGUGGCCAUAGCUACACUUCCUUCCCACCUCAACAACCUCAAGGAGAUGGCCCAGGCUGGCAACACUUGGCAGUCUAGACAUUGAGGAACUGGUGUCCCACUGGGCCCAAAUGGAGACUUUGAGCCAUCCAGACACUUGGCCACCUGGAGCUACGACUUCAAUUUCCAGAUUCCCUGGCAGCCUGAUGAGGCCAUGUGAUUAAUAUCUGGCCAAUAUGAUGGGAGCAGAUAGAGAUUAGCCCUGAGCUAACAUCUGCUGCCAAUCCUCCUCUUUUUGCUGAGGAGGACUGGCCCUGAG